UUGGCAUUAAAAUAAAUUCAUUUCAAAUUCUCCGGCAUAAAUCAUCAUAAUCUAAGUUCAAAAUACAUUCUAAACUUAAUAGAAUUGGGCGGGGUGUUACAACCCUCCCUCCUUAUAAAAAUUUCGUCCUCGAAAUUGCAUAUCUGGGUCAUCUAGUCUGGAUACUAGACUUUCAUUCCACUCAACUCUUGUGCGGCACUAA
rnacentral:lncRNA from 1 species